GACGAACGCUGGCGGCGUGCCUAACACAUGCAAGUCGAACGGUUGAGAGGUGAGAGUUGGGAGGUUAGAAGUGAGAGCUUGAAGGUAUUGGCCAACAUGCCAAUACCAGCAAUGAAGUCUCACAUCCCGCUUCCCACAUCUCACUUCUCAAUAGUGGCGGACGGGUGAGUAACGCGUGGGCAACCUACCCAUCAGACUGGGAUAACACCGGGAAACUGGUGCUAAUACCGGAUACGCUUAUGGAGGGGCAUCCCUUUGUAAGGAAAGAAAAUCGCUGAUGGAUGGGCCCGCGUCUGAUUAGCUAGUUGGUGGGGUAGUGGCCUACCAAGGCGACGAUCAGUAGCCGGCCUGAGAGGGUGACCGGCCACACUGGGACUGAGACACGGCCCAGACUCCUACGGGAGGCAGCAGUGGGGAAUAUUGCGCAAUGGGGGAAACCCUGACGCAGCAACGCCGCGUGAGUGACGAAGGCCUUCGGGUCGUA
rnacentral:rRNA from 1 species